rnacentral:lncRNA from 1 species
AGAGAGAUGGGAAGACAGAGGGAAGCAGGAGGGGGAGAGAAAUACAAAGGGUGAUAAGAAUAUGAAUUUGGGAUGUAUAGGGAAAAAUGAAGUAUUUAUAGAUGAGCGUAAGGCGCAUCUUUUUCCUGGUGAAAUUUUAAGCAGACAGAGAGCCCUGUUCCCAGGUGAAAAAAGUUGUCAAAGACACUGUGCCCUCUAUUCACUUACAAACUGACAGAUGAAGUUUAUUUCAUAGGUCAUUUUACCGUAUAACAUAAGGAAGGCGAAAUUUCUGUGCUGUUGAACUUUAAAGGAACAACGAAUCCCCAUGGUACUAAAACUGACCAAGGCCAUAUAAAAAUGAGGAGUAGUUGUAUUAAAUCUUAUAAAGGUAGAUUAACUCUGAUAUUAAAAUCUGACAGUGAUCAGAAAGUCAGCACAUUAUAUGCAUAUAUAUGUGUCAUCUCAAUUAUAUAAAUAUUAAUGCACACUCUUUUUUUUAAGGGAACACUUAAACCAGCAAUAUAUUAAGAAGUAAUAACCCAUGAUGAAAUAACAUCUAUGUUAGGAAUAUUAGCAUGAUUCAAUACUAGGAAAUGUAUUAUUGGAAUUCUUGACAUGAUUAGAUUAAGUUAAAAAACAAAAAAACUUUUGCUGUUUCAAUAAGUGCCAAAAAAAAAAAAAAUGUGAUAAAGUCCAACUAGUAUUUCAGAUAAACGUUCUAGGUCAAAUAGAAAUGGAAAUAAUAAAAAUAACCUCAAUGAAAUGCCUCAGUAUGUCUGGAUGAUGAAAGAAACAUUCCAGUAGUGUCAAUAAGAAAGGGUUCCUGCUCUCAUUUUUAAUAUUAAACUUUCGGAAAUGAAAAUCAAUAUAUUUUAAAGCUAGGAAAGCCGGAAGCAUUAAUGAUAACACUGAUAAUAGCAGUGAUGACAAUAGAAAAUGUACACAUGUUAAAUAAGGUUUCCAGUUAAAAUACAGGCAGACGUUUGUUCGAUACGACAGGAGGAUAAUAAUGGUAGUGAUUUUCAUGGUAUAACCAUUCGCUUACUGCUGACGUGGUCCCAGGACUUCUGGGCAUGUUAGCGGCACCACAUGUAAAUAUUCCCCAUAACCCUGGGAGAGACAUAUGACUACCAUUCUCAUUGGACGGGCCGGAGAUGUUACCGUGAUGAACGCCUAGGAUGAAAAUACUCCAAGGUGGUUAUCAGGGAACAGUGUUGGGAAAAUACACAAAUAUUAGAGAAUGCAAGUGGUACCUGGUAGGUUUGGGAGAAAAAAAAUACAAAGAUGUUUUUUCACGUGAUGUAUAGGGGGUGUCCUGGUGAGGUGCCUCAGAGGCCUCAGAGAAGCCGGUCUGGGGCUCACAAGGGAAGGGAGUGUUGGGUUUGUAGGCUUAGAAAUGAUCCCCUGGGGGAGUUCCCGUCGUGGCGCAGUGGUUAACGAAUCCGACUAGGAACCAUGAGGUUGCAGGUUCGCUCCCUGGCCUUGCUCAGUGGGUUAAGGAUCCGGCGUUGCCGUGAGCUGUGGUGUAGGUUGCAGACGCGGCUCAGAUCCUGUGUUGCUGUGGCUCUGGCGUGGGCUGGCAGCUAUAGCUUCAAUUAGACCCCUAGCCUGGGAACCUCCAUAUGCUGCGGGAGCAGCCCAAAGAAAUGGCAAAAAGACACACACACACACACGAAAUGAACACCUUACACUGAGGGAGAGAGUUAAUGUGGGAGUCAUUUCUCUUUAUAAUCAACUUAAUAGUUAACAUUCCUCUUGGCUUCAAACGUUGGGCAGAGGUCAGCAUUGAAAAUUAUAUGUUUUUAACUCUGGAGUAUUUCAAUACUAUGACAUUUUAUCUAGCUGAUUAUUUCUCUGUGUCUUUAAGCUAGAGGUGAGUGCACUCAUGCUCUUGCCUGGGUGGAGGUAGAUGUAUAUUUAUGUUCAAAAACUGGAUUAUAGCUGCCCACACAAACAGGUUAUCUUUUUCAACCAUUCGCUGUGAUACUUAGAAACACAGGCUAAGGAUGAUAAAAUGCAUCUAGAUCAUUUCAACGGCCAAAGAAUAUUUGUGUAUAUAUUCUUUGCAAAAAAACCUGUCUUCAACUGUGGGGCAAUAAAACGUUUCGUCAUCUUUCUUAAAAUAAGCAAUGUUACGAUAGCUAUUUUUCAUACGCUUUGAAUAUUUGUCUGAAGUGUUUCAACAGAAGAUCCUAAAUCAAAGUUUCUUUUUCAUUAGUUAUGCUUUUUCAACAAUAACAUUAAUUUAUUGAUUAUUUUACGGAACUACAAUGAAGGAAACAGAAAACCAUUCCUAGUAUCACCAUCCAGAUCACACCACGGAUAUUUGAAAAAGCAGACACGUGUUUAUAAAAGUUCACAGAGCACUAAAAAAGUCAAUAUGACAAGUGACAACUUCCUUCUUUUCCUUUUCAUGAACUGUUUAAAUUGGAGAAUGGUGCAUACGACCAUAUACUAUCCAACUCAUUAUUUACAUGGCUGUGAAUUACUGCAGGGCUUUUCCGCCGGGGUGGAAAAUAUUCCUAGAUUAAGUCUGUCUCCUGGAAGUGGCUCCUUAGUCUCUGGUUCUCCAGUGUUUUCUGCUGUACCUUCUGGAAGGUUCUUUUCUAAUGUGUUCCUUAACUGCUCAAUAACACAGUAUUUCCUUUGAACAGGAAAUAUGUAAGCUGCUUCCUGCUCAUCCAUACACAGCUGGGGGUGCUGAGGCUCAAGUUUACAUUGUAACCUAGCCCCUUUUAUUCCAGACUGGUAACACUUUUGCCAAUACAACUGCAUCUGUAUUUGGGAGGGUCUCCUAUGAAUUUGAUCCCCUGCUGGGGCUAAACUAGAAGUAGCAUUUCUCUGUGAGAUACACUCUCCUCUUAGACUCAGUCACAUCUUUGGGGUGUGUAAGGCUGUGGUAGAGCAAUGCCCUCCCACUCUUUGGAGUUAUUUUGCCCACCAAGAGGUUGCACUAGACCCUGUCUUAACCAUUUCAAAAGUCUAAAUAGAGGAUCUUACUCAACACCUUGGUCUGGUCUCUACCCUGAGGCUGUGACGUUCUGGUCAUUGGCUGGAUUUUUUUCCCCAGGAUUUUAACUUUUUUUUGGGGGGGGGAUGGGAAUCGUUUUAUCAUGAAACACGGGGGCGUUAAGACACAGGUUUGUUUUCCAGAUUUUUCCCAGACACUCUUUUCUCUACAUUCUGUCUGCAAAUUAACCUGCUGUUUCUGAAUCCAUUCAUUUUACUGUAGUACCUUCUCAUUUGCAGUUGGUAAGGACUAGAUGACUCUUGAGGUAAUUUGUGGAAAGAUCUUUGUCCCAGGGCAACAAUUUGUUUUAGGUACAUUUUCUAGCUUCCAGAGUUACCAGAGACCAUAAUGUUACCCAUAUCCUGUGACUGCAAAACAUGAUCAUGAUUUUUUUCUGGCCCCUUAGUGCAAUCCCUCGAUUCUUUGACAGCUUGCUGCAUUUUCAGAGAUUCUGGGUUUACUGUUGGACAUGGGCCAUUUUUGCCAUGGGUAGUCCUGUCUAUCGAUUUUACUUGUGCUGACAAGACAUGAGCAGAUGCUCCAUAAAACCUUUCCCUUGGGAUGAGAUUUAAAUACUGUUUUCUCAGGAGUUCCCAUCGUGGCUCAGCAGAAAGGAACCCAACUAGUAUCCACAAGGAAGCAGGUUCAAUCCCUGGCCUCGUUCAAUGGGUUGCCAUGAGCUGUGGUGUAGGUUGCAGAUGAGGCUUGGAUCCUAUGUUGCUGUGGCUGAGGUGUAAACUGGUGGCUGUAGCUCCAAUUCAAUCCCUAGCCUGGGAACCUCCAUAUGCCGUGGGUGUGGCCGUAAAAAUAAAACUAAACUUGUACCUUUAUAAAAAUAAAUAAAUAGAUAAAUACUGGUUUUUUGAGCCCUUGGAUUUGAGGAGAGUUGGUUUGUGCUCUUCUGGGGUGUGGUGUUCUUUGUGUGGCGUGAUUCUACUCUUUUGACUUUUCCAUGGAGGAAGCUUUUCCCCCAGGAAGGAAGGUGCUCCUCUCGGGAAUCUGAUGCUUUUCUGAAUUUGUCCUCAAAACUGGAAGCCUUGCCUUUCUGUUACACAGGCUGCUUGGUUCUCCUUCUGGCCAGGCUCAAGCACUUCCCCCGAGGUGUCUCCACAUCCCCUGGCAGAAAAUGAAAAGGUGGGGGAGAAAGGGUGUUGGGUCCCAGGCUGAAGUGGUAAAUGUGAUGGGAGCUCUGUGGGUGGCUCACCUUGCUUAGGAGAGCUUGAGUCACUUGAUUUCUCUUUAGUUUUCCUUUCCAUGAAGUUCCUGAUGGCCAGACAAGCAAGGGAAAGGAAAGAGACAGAGUGGUCUUCCUGUCCCAUCCUCUCAGCUCACUGUAUGCUCCAGUGGUCUUCAGCUCACUGUCUGCUCCAGUGGUCUUCUCGGUAGCACAUCAAUCUUCAUCAAGGGGCUUGUCUUCCUGGAAAGUUUCCUGACUCCCUCCUCGGCCAAGUCCUUUGUCCAUCCUCACACCACUCGUCCAAGCUGAGGGUAAUGGUUGGUCAUCCACAGUUUAGACUUCCUAACCUGUCUGCUUGUAGAGAUUCAAAAGAGGAAGACCUGAGGGGCCACAGUGGACCUCACCCAGCUAAGCUGUGCAGGCUCUUGGGCAUGUCAGGCUAGAUAGACCCUGUGCUGCUCCUAGAGCCUUCCCUUGGUUUGAACACUGCUGGUCUCAGGGAAUGGGCUGCUUACUGUUUGGUCUGAUAUAUGUGUCGGUCGUUAGAUAGGGAGGAAAUAGGUAAAUACACAGGUGGAGACAGAAAGUGGUGGAUGGAUAAUAGGUCUUCCUUUUGAGGUUGCUGCAGUCUGCCUGUAGGAGUGAUGUGCUCAUUCUUUUCUGUCUCCUCUUUUGUAUCCCUGCUACUCAACAUCUAGUGGGUGAGCAGCAACCUUUGUGGACGGAAUGAAUAAACUUUGUUUCCAGAAUCAUUUAGAAAUUUAGGUGAGAUUAAGUGAAGCAAGUCCUUCAGAGGAAGACAAAUACCAAGAUAUCACUGUGGAAUCUAAAAUAGGACACAAAUGAACUUAUUUAUAAAAAGAAACAGUUACAGAUUUAGAAAACAAAUUUAUGGUUACCAAAGCGGAAGGGGAGACAUGUGGAUUUGGAGUUUGGGAUUAACACAUACACACUACUGUAUAUAAAAUAGAUAAACAACAAGGUCCUACUGUGUAGCACAGGUUACUAUAUGCAAUACCUUGUAAUAACCUAUCAUGGCAACUAAUCUAAAAAAGAAAAAAUUAUAUAUCUGAAUUACUUUGUUCACACCAGAAACUAAUACACCAUUGUGAAUCAGCUGUGCUUCAGUAUCUUUCGUCCCCAUUUGAGGAGCCUACACAUAGAAGUGGACAUGGGUGAGCAAACAGAUUCAGGUCUAUAGCCAUCUUUUAUUUUUUAACUUAUUAAAAUUGGUUAGUUUUGAACAUCCCUUUCAGUUCUCUUUGGAAGAAAAUUCUGGGAUGUGAGAAUCACAAAUUUCCUCACUUAAUGUCUUCUGAAGCCACAGUGCCGACCACUGCUUUGUGCUCUUCCUGUGCCUGGUUAGGAACAACUCAUGGCAGAAGGAGUAACUUUGUUAUUGAGAACAGUGAAAUAUUUCAAGAACAGAUUUUAAGAGAUAACAAUCGGGGGUGCUCAACUUCAUCUCUUUGCCUCUGGCCCUUUUGCAUUUUGCAAAAGCAAAAUGACUACAUUUCCUAUGUAACCAGGAUCAGAAUUAAACAAAAAUAAGAAAUUAGCCCUUUAAAUAAAUUUGCUUGUAUGGAUACACGUUAAUUAUCUACAUUAUAGUUCUGUCUCAGUCACAUUUCAUCAGCGUAUUGAGUUCAUCCCUAAGAAUUCAGUUCUGUACUUAUUGGACUCCCUAGAAAUACAGGUGAGACCUUUUAUUCCUCGAGGAGGUACCAAAUUAUAAAUCAGGCAAAAACAAAACAAACAAACAAAAAAGAAAACACUGACCCUUGGAUUCACAGAACCUGGGAACAGGUGAGAAUUGGAAGGGAGGCGGUGUUCUAGACAAAAAGCUGACACUCUUUGGAAACGUGGUGUUCUGUCCCUGCUAUGCUGACGUCUAGCUGUGUGUGACCUGUUCUAGGAAUAAUGACCUUCAGGGUCCUCAAAGUUAUCAUGGCUAAAAAUAAAUAAAAAAUACUAAAAAAACAAAAAA